rnacentral:rRNA from 1 species
GGGUUGUGAGGUUAAGCGACUAAGCGUACACGGUGGAUGCCCUGGCAGUCAGAGGCGAUGAAGGACGUGCUAAUCUGCGAUAAGCGUCGGUAAGGUGAUAUGAACCGUUAUAACCGGCGAUUUCCGAAUGGGGAAACCCAGUGUGUUUCGACACACUAUCAUUAACUGAAUCCAUAGGUUAAUGAGGCGAACCGGGGGAACUGAAACAUCUAAGUACCCCGAGGAAAAGAAAUCAACCGAGAUUCCCCCAGUAGCGGCGAGCGAACGGGGAGGAGCCCAGAGCCUGAAUCAGUG